GCGAGGAUGGAGGUCCCCGCUGGUCAAAACAGAGCACCAUCUGUUUUUGUUGACUGGCGUCGAGUCGACCUGGUCGAGGAUGAUGCCCAAGAGCAUGCAUCGCAUGCCAAGACAUGCUGAGACGCGUCCCCGCAGCUCUUGGCACCGAUGAUGUCCGGGAACGGUUGCCAACGCCUUGGCCGGUGGUCGCUGGAGACGCUGAAAAGAAAAAAAACAAGUUCAAAGGUAUCCUUGUGCCCCAUCUCCAUCCAACGGAAAAGGCCACGGACGACGCGCUUUUGCGAGCCAGCGGUUGCCGCGUCGGGCGCACGGAGGAAAAUGUCGAGGCCGGGCGGCCACAGGCACGACCAGGCAUGGACAGACGGGGCCGGCCACAGUCGGGCGCGGACGCCGAGGCCACGGCAUGGGCGCGGUUACGGCCCGGUGCGGAGCGCGGGCGGUGGCCUGGCGGACCAAUCCCGUCCGGGAGGACGAGGAGGCACUGGACCUCGUGACGGAUCUCUCGUUAGUGGCCUAUCUCUCGUUAGAGAACGAAAAUGCUGAUAACUUGUUAUAGUAAAACGAGAUUGAAUGAAAGUGAAUGGAUGAUUAGUCCUGUUUC